rnacentral:rRNA from 1 species
GGAUUAGAUACCCUAUUAUUUAAAAUUUAAAUUAGUUAAACUUGAGUAGUAGUAGAUAUGAUCUUGAAACUUAAAGAAUUUGGCGGUAUUUUAGUCUGGUUAGAGGAAUCUGUUCCGUAAUUGAUAAUCCGCGUUGGACCUUACUUAAUCUUUAAUUUGUAUAUCGUUGUUGUUGAGAAUCUUUUUAGAGUUGGAAAUUUUCUGAAGAUAUUAUUAUAUAGGAUUUCAGAUCAAGGUGCAGUUUAUGAUAAAGGGGAAAUGGAUUACAAUAUGAAUAUAAUAUUAUGGAUUGUUUAUUGGAAUAUAAUUAUGAAAGUGGAUUUAAUUGUAAUAUUGUGAAGAUUGUUAAUAUGAUAUUGCUCUGGAAUAUGUACACAUCGCCCGUCACUCUCAUUUAUUUAAAAUGAGAUAAGUC